UACAGAGGUCUCAAGCGUUGUUCGGAUUCAUUGGGCGUAAAGGGCGCGUAGGCGGCAAAUUAAGUCAGCUGUGAAAUCUCCGAGCUUAACUCGGAACUGUCAGCUGAUACUGAUGUGCUAGAGUGCGGAAGGGGCAAUCGGAAUUCUUGGUGUAGCGGUGAAAUGCGUAGAUAUCAAGAGGAACACCUGAGGUGAAGACGGGUUGCUGGGCCGACACUGACGCUGAGUGCGCGAAAGCCAGGGGAGCAAACGGG
rnacentral:rRNA from 1 species